GGGUUUCGUACGUAGCAGAGCAG
rnacentral:piRNA from 2 species